GACAGAGGGUGCAAACGUUGCUCGGAAGCACUGGGCGUAAAGGGCGUGUAGGCGGGAAGGAAAGUCAGAUGUGAAAUCCCCAGGCUCAACCUGGGAACUGCAUUUGAAACUCCCUUUCUUGAGUACCGGAGAGGAAAGUGGAAUUCCUGGUGUAGAGGUGAAAUUCGUAGAUAUCAGGAGGAACACCAGUGGCGAAGGCGGCUUGCUGGACGGUAACUGACGCUGAGACGCGAAAGCGUGGGGAGCAAACAGG
rnacentral:rRNA from 1 species